UCUUCAUUUUCUCUCGCUCUUCUUUUGCAUCACAUUUUCCCCACCCCCACCUUUUCCAUAUAUUCAGGAGGGUGGACUACCAUAAUGCUGAUUCUUUUCUAUUUGUACCUGACCACUCCAUUGGAGAUUUGAGGAUUGCAUUGGGCCUAAGCAGGUGUAACAUUGUGGCCUAUAGCAUAAGAUGGCCAAUCAAUGUUCCAUAGAAGAACGGAUGUAUGUGUGGCUAUGUAUACCUCCAACAAGUGGACAAUUAGCCUCCCAGAAUACAAGUUAGAAGUAGCGUCUGAAUAGGGUGCAAGCUAUACACAGUAGGCUACUACCUGCUAGAAUAAAUUUCUCAUUUGGAAACAUUUUAUGCUGUCUGAGCGACAGGGACUCCUACAGAAUUCAGAGAAGAUGGUAAGAAGGUGAAGGAAGGUUACAGCCUUAUGACAAGUAUGGAAUGCAGUUGGUUGUCUGUCAGUCAGAAUGGUCUAGUUAUCCUAAAA